GGCCUCGUAGCUCAGUUGGCUAGAGUUUUGGCCUAACCCUUGCUGACGUGGGUUCGAAUCUCACCGCGGCCG
rnacentral:tRNA from 1 species